GCAGAAUGAAGAUCGCACGAGACUAAGGCUUUAUGGAGUUAAAACAAGACGACUUGGAGAAAGAUCCAGUAAAAUAGGUUGGGUCACGUUUCCCUCUGAAAGUUAAAAAUCAGGACGAACGAGGGCCGACGGAUGUAGGAGACAUAGAAAAAGACGUUCAUCCACUCUCGACAAAGGGUAGGCUUGCCAAACGAGAUACCUCUCACCCCCGUUUCAAUCAUCUUCCCUACUGUGGUGUCUCGACCUCCCAGAAGUUUUGCGAGGAACGAACGUAUAGACGCAACACGCACGAGUACACGUACACGUGUAGAACACGUAGGAGUACCACAGGUUGGUAGUACGCGUCGCGGCCAACGAGUGUACACGCGUACGAAGGACUCGCCGCCAGCUCUAAUGAACGCUGAAAAUUAGCCGCUAUCUAUUCAUCUGUGCCUUCGUUGGUUCUCCGACUCGCCACAGCUUGGUUCGACUCGGCUAGGGUAAGGAACUCGAAAGAGGAAAAUGGAAAAGCGAGAAUCGAACGUCUCUGCGAAUGUUCACGAACGGAAGAAUUAUCGGAGUAGGCAAAAAAAGAAAAGGAAAGAAAAGAGAAAAAGAAGGGAACGUGGCGUAGCUUUCAGGGACGAAGAAGAACGAUCUGGAGAAUAUUCUUAGAGCAUAUAGGCAAAUAUAACGUAUAAAUAUAACGAAGGAUUAAGAACGCUCGAGUUUUUAGCUGUAGCUUCCUACGAUGUCUCUCGUUUUCUUUGUCGAGUGCUCGUCGACGAUUCAAACGAGCGAUCCGGCUUCGAAAAGGAGAAGAGAGCGGUAGAAAU